UACAGAGGGUGCGAGCGUUGUUCGGAUUCAUUGGGCGUAAAGGGUGCGUAGGCGGCGCGGUAAGUCGGGUGUGAAAUUUCGAGGCUUAACUUCGAAACUGCAUUCGAUACUGCCGUGCUUGAGGACUGGAGAGGAGACUGGAAUUUACGGUGUAGCGGUGAAAUGCGUAGAUAUCGUAAGGAAGACCAGUGGCGAAGGCGGGUCUCUGGACAGUUCCUGACGCUGAGGCACGAAGGCCAGGGGAGCAAACGGG
rnacentral:rRNA from 1 species